rnacentral:lncRNA from 1 species
UAUAUUCACUCGGGAGAUUCCGUAAGGUAAUUGGGCAGCACAAUCCUAUUACAAUUAGCAAAUGCAGCUACUGAUAUUAACCCCACAAAAAAGCCCACUCUUUUGAAAAUAUUGACCAUGUUGAAUGCAGAGAAUAUCCACAGCUGAGAUGCAUUAAAGAGGCUCUACAAAAUGAAGUAUAAAUCAAAAGUUAAGUUGGAUAAAGUAAACAAGAUUGAUAACCAG